rnacentral:lncRNA from 1 species
CAGAAACAGGCAGCCUGACUAGAGAACAAACUACCAAUUAACGAGCGAGGAAACAGGGCCAGAGAAUUGGAACAAAAUACAAGGCUGCCUCUGAAAGCUCUUCCAGGAGUCAUGUGCAUUGCCCAAGCUACCCUGCCAAGUGAUGAGAAAGAUGCGGCCUAGUGAUCCUCAUCACCCUCAACCAGUAGACAGUCAAUGCCCAGAAGCAGAGCUGCUUUAGCUCAUUUACAAGUGACCAUAGACAAGAGUGAGGCCAGCCAAGACAAGAAGAACUGACCAUUUAAGCCCAGUUCAGAUCAACAGCCUGUAGAACUGUGAGCUAAGUAAAUGGCUCUUACUAUAGGCCACAAAGUUUUGGAGUGGAUUGUUAUGUGGUAAAAGAUAACUGAGAGAACACAUAAUUCUGGGAAUUAC